GGCUGUUAUAAAAUACCUUACAUGCAUUUUGUGAGGGAAAUAGUUUAUUUUUGCUCACAUUCCCAGGUUGUGGCCCACCACUGUGUGGAAGUCACCAAGGCAGGAAUCUGAAAGAACUCGUCCAAUCACAUCCAGUCAGCAGAAAGCCCAAGGGGAUGGCUUCAUCAGUAACCUGACCGUCUUGCAAAACGAGGACCUGAACUCAAAUCUCCAAAACCCAUAUAAAAAGGGGAUACUAAGGAAGCAGAGACAAAUGGCUACCUGGAGCCUAUGGACCAACCCUGAGCCUCAGAUGCAAAAAUGUUCUCCUUGCCACGGUUAUGGAGAAUCUUGUCCCUGCCAAAGGUAAUGAUUCUACGAUAAACACAUGAUUUUGGAAAAUGAGAUCAUAUCUUUGUGAUGCUAAGACCUUCUAGACAACCCUUAAGGCUGAGGAAAUAAAAACUGAAAAAAUGAGUUCAAGAACACAUAAAUCAGUGUAAGAACUGUUCUUUACAGAAUUUUUCAACUGUGCAAAAUAUAAUGAUGCAAUAUGAAAUGUAUGAGCAGUUUCAUGGACUUGAAACAAUAGAGACAGCUGCAUUAAGUCAGUUUAGUCACAAAGAUAUUAAGGAGGUCAAGUGUGAUGGCAUACACUUAAUCCCAGCACUCAGGAGGCAGAGACAGGAGGAUAUCUUGUAAGUUCAAAGCCAGCCUGGUCCACCAAAAAAAAAAAUGAUGGCUUAAUGAUAUUCUAAUUUCAAAAUAUUAUACAAUCCUACUCUCCAAUAUCUCCAGUAACCCUAGAAUUGAUGACAUAAAAAAAGAAGAAAAAAAAAGAACAAAGUUUAAAAGAAUAUAUUAAGGUAGCUAAGAAUUAUAAAAAUGAGCUUCAUUGCAAAAAAUAUUAUGCAUAAACUAACU